CAGAACCAAAACAAAAUUCUCGGUAGGGGGAACACGGAAGUGCAGCCAAUGAAUUAAAAUUGGCAAAGAUGCAAAAAUAAGAAGAGCACACGGAUCCCUGACAUCAUUGGGCCAAUCAGAAUAGGCUGCCAAGGCCAAGAUCGUCCAUGCUCCAAACACGCCGGCAGCACGCAGAAACCACUGCGAACUUUCAAGAGUAGACCCACCCUGGUAUGGCACCUCUAAUUGCUACUGAUUGCUGAUCGCCGUUACGGGUGACAUAUUCGAAUUGAUGUGGAGCCGCCUUUAUGGACAAACAUCAUGAUGUGCCGCCGUUGUCAAGUUCAUCUUGGGAAUAGGUGGGUUUGCAUAAUACACUCAUGCUUUUGAAAGUCGAAGGGUUAUGAUUAGGGGUCGCCUUUGUAAUCAUAAUCUGAUUUUUUCUACUUCAGAGCCUCUUAUCAGUUGUUACAUGAACUAUGAUUGGAACUAUGAAAUAUGUUAAUUAUAUUAAAAUAAGAAUGGAAAAUCGUUUAAUAAAAAAAGAUGUGGUAAUGUUAUUUUA